UAAGCAGAAGCCAUUUAGGGUUUUAUCAUGAUGUGACGAUUAACAUGUUUCGCUACGCUUCUCUCUUGCCCUUUCGUGCUCUCUCUCUCUCUCUCAUUUUUCUUAUGUAUGUGUUUGCGUGUUUUAAAUCUUGUUUUCUCAUUUGAUGCCUCUUGAUAGAAACCUUAAAUACAAUAAUUGUUUUUGGUUUCUUGAAAAUAUUUUUUCGUUUGCAAGAGGCUUAGAGUUUGAGCAGAAAUUGAGUCGCUGCGCCUCUGUUCUCCACAGGCGUAGUGAAUUAUACCCUGCCAAAUCUAUCUUUCCUAUCUUCUUUCUAGUUGUGAAAUAAUCUUUGUUUUGGAUCAGUGUGUAUCUGACGCGGGGAUCCUAUGAUGGCAUGUAAUCUUUGAGACCUGAUUAUUUUCACUGGAUGACAACUACCAAGCAUAAUUGCUGAGGACCCCUUCGUUAUUACGUUAGUUAUUAAUGAUGAUUUUCCAUUGAUGGGUUUUUCUUCUCUUGUGGUGAUUUUGUUUUACACCAUGACUUUUACUUUGAUUAGGUUUUUGUAAGGACUGUUUGAUGCGGAGAUGAUGAAUAUGCACUGGGCUCUGAGCAAGCUGUUUAUCAGCUGCUUAAUUGAUGCACAAUUGCCGCCUAGAAAGCUAUGUCUGAUCUGUUUUUAUUUUAAAUCGUUUCUUUUUUCAUUUUUUGUUGUCCAUGGAAGGGUGAUGUACCAUGUCGAAGUCCAGACGCUGUCGAUCCUCACCUGAUACUGGAAAUGGAAUCUUACCUGAAUACUCCAAUGAAUAUAGAGAACUUUUAUGGGCAAAAUUUAACAAAUUGAGGGAGGACGAUUCCAUGACUUGCAAUGCAUAAAAAUGCGACCUCGGUGAAAUUUGUCAAAAAAAUUCCCGCAACGGAUGCCAAUAUGCAAGUUUGUGUUCAUGCGAAAGAGGCCGAAUUAUGUUAAUUACGCCACAAAUAUGCUCAAAGAAUAUUGCCGAACUGUUCAAAUGUGCUUCUUGUAACCGGUGAUCAUACAACAAAGAAAGAAGACAGAUCUACAAGCUGUUCCUCAAGGCGCUGUUAUUUAAACCAAAAAUAAAAUCAACAGAACAAUUCUGCAAGUCUGAAUUCCGAGGCGCUAUUCUAGACAUGGGUGACUUACAUCUAUGUUCACCGAGGGGGGUUUUAGAUACUCUGUAGCAAUUGUCCUGAGAUUCACAACCAUAAAGAUAAUUCACCAACUGCAGUUUACACACGUCCAACUCGACUAGAACUAGUAAUCUGCCGCUAAAAUAAAAUCUUGUAAGUACUUGCUAAUGAACUUUUUCUAUGAUUUUUAAUGGAUAUUCAUAUGCCAGAAAUAGGUUUUAUGAA